rnacentral:rRNA from 1 species
CCUACGGGCGGCUGCAGUAACGAAUCUUCCCCAAUGCGCGAAAGCGUGAGGGAGCGACGCCGCGUGGAGGACGAAGUCCUUCGGGAUGUAAACUCCUGUCAGGGGCAACCAAGUUCUGAGGUGCCCCAGAGGAAGAGGCGGCUAACUCUGUGCCAGCAGCCGCGGUAAUACAGAGGCCUCGAGCGUUAGGCGGAAUCACUGGGCUUAAAGCGCGUGUAGGCGGAUCGUUAAGUGUCUUGUGAAAUCCCACGGCUCAACCGUGGAACUGCUGGGCA